AGAGUUUGAUCAUGGCUCAGGACGAACGCUGGCGGCGUGCGUAAUGCAUGCAAGUCGAGCGGGCUACGAUCUUCGGAUUGUAGCUUAGCGGCGAACGGGUGAGUAACACGUAGGUGAUCUACCCUUCAGAGGAGGACAACCUCAGGAAACUGAGGCUAAACCUUCAUACGUUCACUGGUAGGGAUACUGGUGAAGAAAGAGUUACCCCUAGAGGGUAGCUGCUGAAGGAUGAGCCUGCGGCCCAUCAGGUAGUUGGUGAGGUAACGGCUCACCAAGCCGAAGACGGGUAACCGGUCUGAGAGGAUGUCCGGUCACACUGGGACUGAGACACGGCCCAGACUCCUACGGGAGGCAGCAGCAGGGAAUCUUGGGCAAUGGGCGAAAGCCUGACCCAGCGACGCCGCGUGGAGGAAGAAGUCCUUCGGGGCGUAAACUCCUGGACUGGGGGACGAGGAAGGACGGUACCCCAGUAGAAAGGGACGGCUAACUACGUGCCAGCAGCCGCGGUAAAACGUAGGUCCCGAGCGUUGUUCGGAUUCACUGGGUGUAAAGGGCGCGUAGGUGGUUGUCUGUGUCUCAUGUGAAAACUCAGGGCUCAACUCUGAGAUUGCGUGGGAAACUAGGCAGCUAGAGGACGGUAGAGGGGAGUGGAAUUCCCGGUGUAGCGGUAAAAUGCGUAGAUAUCGGGAGGAACACCGGUGGCGAAGGCGGCUCUCUGGGCCGAUCCUGACGCUGAGGCGCGAAAGCUAGGGGAGCGAACCGGAUUAGAUACCCGGGUAGUCCUAGCCGUAAACGAUGGGUGCUAGGUGUUGGGGGGUAAAGACCCUUCAGUGCCGAAGCCAACGCGAUAAGCAUCCCACCUGGGGAGUACGGCCGCAAGGUUGAAACUCAAAUGAAUUGACGG
rnacentral:rRNA from 1 species